rnacentral:rRNA from 1 species
GACGAACGCUGGCGGCGUGCUUAACACAUGCAAGUCGAGCGAUGAAGUUCCUUCGGGGAUGGAUUAGCGGCGGACGGGUGAGUAACACGUGGGUAACCUGCCUCAUAGAGGGGAAUAGCCUUUCGAAAGGAAGAUUAAUACCGCAUAAGAUUGUAGUACCGCAUGGUACAGCAAUUAAAGGAGUAAUCCGCUAUGAGAUGGACCCGCGUCGCAUUAGCUAGUUGGUGAGGUAACGGCUCACCAAGGCGACGAUGCGUAGCCGACCGGAGAGGGUGAUCGGCCACAUGGGGACUGAGACACGGCCCAGACUACUACGGGAGGCAGCAGUGGGGAAUAUUGCACAAUGGGGGAAACCCUGAUGCAGCAACGCCGCGUGAGUGAUGACGGCCUUCGGAUUGUAAAACUCUGUCUUCAGGGACGAUAAUGACGGUACCUGAGGAGGAAGCCACGGCUAACUACGUGCCAGCCGCCGCCGUAACAC